UUUGGUGGCGAUAGCGAAGAGGUCACACCCGUUCCCAUGCCGAACACGGAAGUUAAGCUCUUCAGCGCCGCU
rnacentral:rRNA from 1 species